rnacentral:rRNA from 1 species
GGACAGUAGGGAAUCUUCCGCAAUGGACGAAAGUCUGACGGAGCAACGCCGCGUGAGUGAUGAAGGCUUUCGGGUCGUAAAACUCUGUUGUUAGGGAAGAACAAGUACGAGAGUAACUGCUCGUACCUUGACGGUACCUAACCAGAAAGCCACGGCUAACUACGUGCCAGCAGCCGCGGUAAUACGUAGGUGGCAAGCGUUAUCCGGAAUUAUUGGGCGUAAAGCGCGCGCAGGCGGUUUCUUAAGUCUGAUGUGAAAGCCCACGGCUCAACCGUGGAGGGUCAUUGGAAACUGGGGAACUUGAGUGCAGAAGAGAAAAGCGGAAUUCCACGUGUAGCGGUGAAAUGCGUAGAGAUGUGGAGGAACACCAGUGGCGAAGGCGGCUUUUUGGUCUGUAACUGACGCUGAGGCGCGAAAGCGUGGGGAGCAAACAGGAUUAGAUACCCUGGUAGUCCACGCCGUAAACGAUGAGUGCUAAGUGUUAGAGGGUUUCCGCCCUUUAGUGCUGCAGCUAACGCAUUAAGCACUCCGCCUGGAGACUCA